CAGAGAUAAAAGACAGGGGCUGUCUGCACAUGAGCAGCAACCCCGGAAAGUCUGGAGCGAUUGCAAACCUAAGAGCAAAUACCAGUCAGCAAAACAGUGCUGCUAUUAAGAACGCUAACACAGUGAUGCAGUAACAGGAGGGUGACAGGCCAAAACCAGGAAAAGGCACCCAAGAUGUUAACCACAUUCUUGGAUUCCUGGGCACCCUCCAGUUUCUGACCUUGUUCUCCUAAACUCCAGCCUGCAACUCUCUGUGAAAAUGCAAAUAGCAAAAUGGGGAUAAUAUGUUACCGAAUACAGGAAAAGCAGAAGGAAACAUUCAGAUUGUCAUGAGACAAGCUAUUCCGUUUACUGAGUGCUGAAAACUAAGAGCGGCAGAUAGACUGGGUAACAUGGAGGAUCAGAAGGUUAGCCCUGUGAUUAACUGCUGCCAAUCCUCCUCUUUAUGCUGAGGAAGGCUGGCCCUGAGCUAACAUCCGUGCCCAUCCUCCUCUACUUUAUAUGUGGGACGCCUACCACAGCAUGGCUUGCCAAGCGGUGCCAUGUCCAUACCCGGCAUCCGAACUGGCGAAACCCAGGCUGCUGAAGCAGAACGUAUGCGCUUAACCACUGCACCACCGGCAGGCCCCAAGAUGCUUCCUUGAUAAUUGGAGUUUCAUGUUAAUUUAUUUCAAGGUGUACUGUGACAUGGAGUAACAGGGGAUGCAUUUCCUUCAGUGGUGUCUUCACUUGGAGAAGCCUCAAUGCCGUCAAGAAGAGGAUGCCCACCAGGUUUAUUCCCAGCAUAACAACCUGAGCUUGAAUGAUUUACCUCAUGGUGUUUAUUUGCAAAAAGAGCCUUCUUUUUGGCUAGUUUGCCACUAGUGGGCAGAGCAUUCAGCUAAGAUGCUUUGGUGAUAGUUGUUUAGCAUGUAUAGAUAUAAAUGGUUGCUUCUGACUAUAGCCACAAUCGUUUGUCCAAUCAAAUAUUCUUAGGGCAAUAGAACAGGUUUAAUACAUCAUAAGGAAAAAACCACAAUAAAUAUACAUUUUUUUAAAAAGCACACACAUACACACACAAGGCCACUUGCUUCAUAAGGGAGCUGUGCAACUGGCAGGAGCUUUGAGGCUUGUAGUUAUUUAAGAAGGAAUUGAGAUCAAGCCUUGGAAUACAGGCAGCAUUUCAGUAGAUGGAUAUGGGAGGCAAAGGCAUUGGGAUAAGUGCCAGGGGUGUGUGCUCACAGGCAACAUCUAGUGUCAAUAGAUACAAAUAUAUCCAAACUCAUUUUCAGCUCUUAUAUUUUCAUCUUAAAAAACAAACACUACUAAAAAUAUUUAAUUGUUAUAGCAGAAAAAGUAUCUCCAACAUGUGAUACAGAGGCACUUUCUUAGGUCACCGAAAAUCACUUGGUAAACUAUUGAUGAAUGGCUUGAAAGCAUUAAUACUGUUUCUUAUAUAUGCUUAAUAAAUCCAAAGACAGUAAUGUAUUCAAUGAAACAGCAAGUUGCUCUGAUUAAAAAAAAAAAAAAAGCAGUCUCUCCUUUCCCAGAUGCAAGAUCAUUUUGGUGAUCACGUCCAUCAGGCAACCACUGAAGUCCUGGGUGAGUCUCUGAGGAGUUCCUGACCAUUAGGAAAUUCUUGAGCAGUGGGAGAGAGAUGGGCCUGCAGUGGCCAACAGCCUGUGGAAACAUUUACAAAAGCAUUCAGCAGUCUCUAAUGACCAGAAAGCAACUGGAUAUUCCACUGCAACAAUGAAAAGAAACAUUUCAAUUUGGAUUUGUUUGCUUGUGAAACAAAUGUUUACAACGGAAACCUCUGUUUGGGUUGUUACCACGCGCUCAAACAAAGUAUGUAUUUACUGAAGAAUCAAGUACAGCUUCUCAUUGUAAGGAUUGCCUCUUUGGGGACAGGCUAUAUCAUAAGGAUAAUGUGCUGGAUAACAAAAAAGAAACAGAACUACAAGACUUUAAGGCAACAGGCAAUAUGUGCAACACUUACCGGCUCUGCAAAAGUGGCUUUCCCAGGAAGUACGUAUUAGUUAGGAUAAAAAAACUCCAGGCCAGUAACAUAGAAACCAAGAAUAUGGUGGCUUAAACAAGACAGAGGUUUAUUUCCAUCUCUUGUUACAAUUUAGGUGUAAGCAGUCCAGACUAUGGUGUCAGGAACCAGGCUCACUCAGUUUUAGCUGUAGCAUCCACAGCAUUUGGCUUCCAAAGUGUGGUCCAUGGUGGCUGCUCUGGCUACAGACAUCAUGUCUGCCUUCAAGCCAAUGGAAAAGAAAGGAGAGUCGAGGGAGGGAUUGCUUUUGCCCUUUAGAGCAGUGGUUCCCAACUGAGGGCAAUUUUGCUCCUCCCCGAGAAGAAGAUUUUUUGUCACAACUUGGUGGUGGGGGAGGGAGGUGGUAGCAGCACUAUUGACAUCUAGUAGAUAGAUGUCAGAGAUGCUGCUAAACACCUACUACGGACAAGACACGCCCCCAUAUGAUGAAUUAUCUGGCCUAACAUGUCAGUAUUGCUAAAUUUGAGAAAUCUUGCGUCAAACCGAAAGCUUCUUGUUGACAUAUAUUUGCAGGACACAGAAGCUGGCUGAGGACUGUUUCCACUACACUCCAGCUGCAUUCUGAGGGAAUUGCCUGGCAUAAAUGAGCAUAAUCUUUGGCAGAGACUGCCAGUGGUCUCCAGUGUCUGUUCUCUUCUUGUAUAUUAAUAGAACUUCAACCUGGGCCAGCUAAAAGAUUUCCAGCUUUUCCCCAAUUGUAGCAACCAAAAAUGUCUCCAAACAUUGCCAAAUAUCCCCUAUGAUAUUUUAUUAGGAAAUAUUUCUCAGUUUGAUGUCCUUGGGCAAGUCAACUAAACCUUUGGAAUCUCAGUUUCCUCAAAACUAAUCAUAUGGGUAAAACUUUUCUCUGUAAACGACUGUGGUAGGCAGAAUUUUAAGAUGUCCUUCAAGAUUCCCACCCCGGGGUGUAUACACACCUUCUCCCUGAUAUUCAAUCAAACACUAAGAUAUGUGCUGCUGCAAUGGAACUUUUCAGAUGUAACUGAGGUCCCAAAUCAGUUGACUAAGAAAAGGAAAUUGUGCUCCUUGCACCUGAUCUAGUUAGGUGAGCACAUAAAUGGAAUGGGGCUCUUCCUGGCAAAAGAGAUUCAUUCAAAGUGUGAGAGGGAUUCAAUGCAAAGGACAUUCUCCACCACUGGCUUUGAAGAUAAAGGGGACCAUGUGUCAAGAAUGUGAUGGCCUCUAGAAGUUAAGAGUGGCUCUAGGCAGACAGCCAGCAAAGAAAUGGAGAUUGUAGUCCUAUAGGAAUAAAUUCUGCCACAAUCACAUGAGGUGGAAAGAGAACGUUGAACUUCAGAUGAGGACACAGGCCAUUUGACACCUUUGCUUUUCUUUCGUAAGACUCUGAAUAGACAACCCAGCCACUCCAUGUCCAGACUUUUGACCUACAAAACUGUGAGCUAAUAAAUAGUAUUGUUUUAAGCUGCUAAAUUUGUGGGAAUUGGUUAUACAGCAAUAGAAAUCUAACAGAGUUAUUGCAAAGAUUGAUUGCAGUAAUGGUAGUUAUCCUUUAGCGAAUGCUAUUAUGUUACAGAAAACUAGCUAGGCAUUUUAACAGAAUUAUUUAUCCUUUCAAUAACUAUUGCAAGAUAGGCAUUAUUUCCCCCAUUUUACAAUUGUAGAAAUGAAGGCUUAUAGAAGUUUCUUAAUUUGCUUAAUAUACCACAGCAAAGAACUGAAAUUUAAAUGCCAGCGUCCAUAUCCUUUUCUCAUUGUCUAACUUUGUUAAAUAUAAAGUAUUAGAAAAAAGAGGCAUCCUAAUUUUAUUCAUUUUGCUAUGCAUACACCAUGACUAGUGAACAUUUUGAGAGACAGUAGACACACAAACAUCAAACACUGUGCAAUUACACACAUGUUGAGGUUUAGUUCUGGAGUCCACGAUAGUGGCUAAUCUAAGACAAGUCUUAGUUUUCAGCUUAAUGACACCUCUAUCUAUUUGUUUGACGUCUUUUUCCCUUUAAGUUGCAUUCAGCCAGCAGUGGGAGCUUUGAAACCCAAACAUUCUCUGUCGUCAUUUUUCAAAGAAUAUUUGAGCCAUUUCUGGACUUGUUGUACAUCAAGGAAAGGAAUGCCAGAAGCCACAUAUCUAAAUGUUUACUUAAAAUAAUAGUAAUUUUGAUAACUGUCACUUAGGAGCAUUUAUCAUGUGUCAGGCCCAGGGCUAAGUUCAGAGUGUUGGACCAUCCUCAGAGAAUCCUGUGAUGUAAACAGCAUUACUACGCUAAGCUUACAGGAGAGAAAAUGGCCUCAAAUAUCUUCAGCACCUUGCACAGGCAAACUUGCAAGGAGGUAGCCCAGACAAAAUCAAAUCCAUGAUCUGUUAGACUCUGUGCCUCUUACCUCCCAGUAGAUAUUGUUGUUAAUCGUGGAAUCUCACAAGCGUCCUCCAAAUCUGCCACUGGAAUGAAGAGGCUUUCUCAGGGUGUCCCCAGACGAGUCUGAACCCUAAACAUGGUGCCUGGUAUUUACUAUAUCUUGAUUCUGGUUUUAGAUACCAUCUACAUACACAUCUCCUGUGUAUGCAUGUGGUUCUCCAGUAGAACUCAUUUGGAGUGCUGCUUCUGGUUUACCUAUGCCAUAAGGAGCCUUAUGGCUGGAGUGCAUCUGAUGGUGAUGACUUUUGUUGCUUUACUCAUGUUCUUUCAUCCAAAUCCUUAAAGGGUACGGCACUUCAAUACAGCUGGUGAAGAUUAGGGUAUAUUGUAAGGCAGAAAGCUGAAAACAGAUUUCUCCAAGCCAUCUGUAAUGGCUAUGCAGCUGUGGUGCCCGCACACAUCUGGAGAGCUGCUGUAAAAUAAGAGUCUAACAUUUGGCAAAGGUACCCGAUGGCCUUGUUAUCAAAUGUGAAUAGAGGCAGAGUCAAGUUUAAGACUAGGAAGGGGACAGCCAUAACAAUAACAAAAUACGCAGAAAGGUAAAAGAGCAACUGAUAGAUAACAACACAUUACAAAAGGAGAAAAGUGUAUGGGGAAGAUGGUGAGAUAGCAGGAUAAGCGUCUUUGAAAAUGCUAAAGAGAGAGAUUCAAAAAUGCCUUGAUUGUCACAGUAAUUAGAAACUAUUGGAAUUGUGCUUAGUUAAAUCUGGUUAAUUUGCGAGACUUGGCAGAAGAACUGGUGUUAAAGGUUGCCACAGAUGACAUUUGGUGUGAUGUGUCCUGGGGGCGCUCCAUCAUUACUGAUUGAGUAAAUGACAUUAACAAAAGAGAUGGACAAGCCUGUCUCCACUCAUUUCAUGGAAUACCAUUGCCUUUUAAGGGAUCCUGCCAACCUCAGCUUUUCUUCAACUGAAAAAAAGAAAAAAUGGUGCUGGAAGUAGCUUUAAGAAGAAUUGAGUCAUUAAGAUGGUGCAAACAGAUUCCUUUUCUGAAAGCAUGGCUACCCUGUGGUCAAUUCCCCCUUGGUGCUCUGUAAUAGAUUCUCCCACAGCCUUUGAAUCUUCCAAGAAGUUUCAGCAAAUGAUUGAUAAUAGGAUCUGCCCCUAGAAAGGAGGCAGAUUUCAGAGCUGCGAGAGAAAGCCCAUUGAAUGGCAGGAUAAAUGUAGGAGGAGAACGGAGAGGCCUCACCAUAGUGGGAAGCUCGGUUUCGCUCUAAGUCGUUGGCAUAGAGCUCAAUUUGGGGUCUUGAUGCUCCUUUUAGUUUUAAAGUAGGAAUCUCACAGUCAUUCUUUUUUCAGGUUGAGUUGACAUCGAGAAAGCAAGCUGCUCUACUUGGAGCCAAACCAGACAGCCUGCCCAUUCUGCUAAUUGGAUUUGGGGAUCUGUGUUGAGGUAGCUUGAGCUGGAAGUUUAUUCACCUCUGCUCAGAUGCCAAAUCCAUUGGUCCAGAAGUACAUAGAAUCUAAAAAAAUUAAUUAGCAAAAUGGCUAUGUCAUGGACAUUUCCAAAAUGUAUAUCUUGUGGUUGGUCUCAGUUGGGGACUCUUUUAUUUUUAACUGAUCAAUUAAACUUGUCUAGCUACAUGAAUUGUUCUAAUUACUGAGUUUUCCCAGAAUUAAAUACUCUAAGCUAAAUCAACUAACAUUUAGCAAACGGGAGCUCCUUCUUCUGCUUCUCUCCCUAAGAGCCCUCUAUAGAAUUAACAGUUAGGUGCUAAUUGCAGAUGAUUAAGUGCUCACCAGUGUUGGAGUCCUUUCUUUAAUAUUAAUGAGAUGGAUUAGCAUGGAACAUGUCUUCUAUUAAUAUUAUAAAUGGAAGCCUGCAUGGAUCACUGAGUGCUCUUUUGUAUCAUAAGGAGCAUUUGGUUUAAAGGAAUAAAGAAAGUACGCUCCUAAACUGUAUCUUCCUUUCAAUUGCGAAAUAAAGUUACUGAGGGAAAUGUUUCAAUAUCAUUCAUUUAGAGCAACCAUGUAGCAUUUUUGCAAUAACCAGAGUUGCAAACUUUUACAUAAAACUUCUUUCAGCUGUCUCCUUGAGUAGGCAUAGCACAUUAAACCAGAGUAGAGUUUAAAUUAUUCCAUAAAGUAUGAUCCAGAAAGACCCACCUUUCUAUACUACUAAAAGAAAUUACUUGACAGUUCAGCACUAUUUUCACAAACCUGAAUUCUCUUCCAAGACAACUUGCUUAUUUAAAAAAACGUUAAUUGAUUUCCUUUACCCAUUUGAAAACAGCAAACUGACUGCUUUUUCUUUUUGUUGAGGAACAGAUAGUUAAUAAUCACUUCUUCCUUCUUACUUUUCCUAAGAAGAUGCUUAUGAAAGAGUGAGACUUAUACUUCAUACGUUGCUGUCAGAAUCCACCUCAAUGAGCUAGAGCAACAUCGUCUCUAAGUUGUAGGAAGAGCAUUGUUCCACUUUAUUUCUUAUUCGUUAAAACUAUGGUUCAUUUUGACAAGUGCUAUUUGAAUGGUACCAUAAAAGACACAGAAAUGCAAAACAUUUCUUUUAAAUCCCGGUAUGAUCUAAAAAUUAUCAUUUUAUCUCUUUUGUCGCUUGCAAGCAUUUGCAAAUGAGAACAUAAAAGCUUAUGCAUCCAAACUAAAUCCAAAUCUGUGUUAAUGCAGAGUACACCACGUUUUGAUUAAGGACUUGACCCUCUGAGUCAAACUUCUAGUUUUGUCCUUACUCUUUGAACUUAAAACUAUGUACACAUUUACCAUUUGUCCUAGGUAAACCUGCUUAGAACUAAAUAAUACUGAGUGACUGCUUAUAAUGCAUAGUAAUAGAGCUGAUAUUUGUGUUUAAAAUUUUAUAUGUUACAAGUCAUAUUGAGUAAUAGAGGAUUUCUCAGGUCACAGAAAAAUGGAAACAUAUAGCUACCACCUUACAUUUGACCUGGCAUAUGUUUGGUUUAAUCCAGAAUAUGCAUUAUAUGUUGGUCAAUUAUAUUUCUUUACAAAGAGAUUCAGAUGUUGCUGUGACUUUUUAAUUAUCUCAAACGUUAUCUAUGUAAAAUCAUAAUUUAUAGUAACUGAUACAUUAUCUAGCAAAAAAAUUUCCUUAAAAUAUCUGGUCUUCUGAGAUAUUUACAAUUAUUCUUACAAAUGCUAAGAUAUGCAAUCUGCAAAAUGAAUUCUUGAAAAUUGUGGUAGGUAGAAUUCUGAGAUAAUCUCCAAGAUAGAAGCUCCUUGGUGUGCACACCCUCUAUAAUUUCCUCCCCUUGAGUGUGAACAGGACCAGUGAAUAUAAUGAGAUACCACUCUCAGGAUUAGGUUAUUUAUCAGUUGAUCUGGAGUCAAUCAAGAAAACUAUCUUGAGUGGUCUUGACCUAACCAGAUGAGCCCUUUAACAUAAAGUGAAGUGUCAAAGAUUCUUUCCUGCUGACCCAGAAGAAAGCAAACAGUUGUGUUGUGAAGGAAGGGACCAUGAAGCGAGCAGCUAAGGAUGGCCUCUGGGAACUGAGAGUGGUCCUCAGCAGACAGCUAGCAAGGAAAUGGAGCCUCAGUUAUACAGCCAGAGGGAAAUGAAUUCCACCAACGACCUGUGAAUUUGGAAGAGGACCCCGAGCCUCAGAUGAGGUCACAGCCUUGUUCACACCUUGAAUUAAAACUGUGAGACCCUCAGCAAAAGACCCAACUAACUCAUGCCUGGACUCCUGACCCACAGAAAAUAUGAAAUAGUAAAUUUGUGUUGUUUUGAGCCAUGGAAGUUUAUGGCAAUUUGUUAGCAGCAAUAGAAAACUAAUACCAAUAGGAAUAUGGUUUGAUCCAGGCAGAAUAAAUUUAACUGAGAACACUCACUCUUCUCAUUUAAUGAAAUCUGGCUGAAGGUUUACAACAGCCCACAAAAUUUGGUAUCAUUCACGGCAAAUGAAAAAAGUUUUGGAGCCCCAAGUAAUAUUGUUAGUUAAAAGGAAAGCAAGAGUUUUGUAAUUUUGUCUCCUUCUCUUCUUCAGAUAGAUGCUGUUAUCAUUGACAAUGACACUGCCAAUCAUUCUUGUGUUGCAAGAAAUUGGCUAGGCAUAUCUUAGAAUUCUCUUCACUGCUCACAGGUUUCAGACUCAUAAGAGAUGAUAAACUUCUAUGGGAGCCUCGGCCCUUCUUGACAGUAGAUUCUGUUCUCAAAGCCUUGGACAAAGGAUUAUAAUUAAUUGUGGCAAUGCUUGCGUUACCCUCUCCAUGAACUCACCAUUCCCUGUGUGUCACCUUCUGAGUGUCAACAGCAGACAGCAUUGAAUGAGUCUCAGACAAAAAUUCUGAACAUCAGUGAUAUUUCUUCCUGCUUCCCCUGGUUUGGAGAGUUCUGCUUGGCAAGACAUUAAAUCAUGUGGAUAUCUGCCUUUGACAACUCUUGGGAAUCCAGAGCUGAGAAUCAUUUUACAUAGCGUAAAAUUCACUGGAGUCUGUCGAAUCGUGAGCCAAUAUUUGGAGGGAAUGGCUAACAAGUGUCUGCCAUUUUCUUUUUUCUUCUUCUCUGUCAGAGGAUUCAGAAUUUCCAAGUUGGGGUCAGAAUAAAAUAUGUGAUAAAAGCAAGAGCUAUCCAGCGUAGGAUCUUUGCUGUGCAUCCUAAUAAUGCAAUAGUUGUUGGGGCUGGCCCCGUGGCCGAGUGGUUAAGUUCGCGCGCUCCGCUGCAGGCGGCCCAGUGUUUCGUUGGUUCGAAUCCUGGAAUCCUGGGCGCGGACAUGGCACUGCUCAUCACACCACGCUGAGGCAGAGUCCCACAUGCCACAACUAGAAGGACCCACAAGGAAGAAUAUACAACUAUGUACUGGGGGGCUUUGGGGAGAAAAAGGAAAAAAAAUAAAAUCUUUAAAAAAAAAAAAAUAAUGCAAUAGUUGUUGCAGAUCAACAAUGAAAACACAGCCACAGCACAUACACACACACACUCAGUUUUGAGGACACAUAGACUCCUGCUGAAGAAUUCUUAUAAUUGAUAUUAUUUCUUCUCUUCUAGACUGUCAUAUUAUUCUGCCGAGAGAAGAGCUACAGCAGAGGCUGUAAGAGAAAACUAUCCCCAAUCUAUUUCCAUAGUAAACCACCUUUAUAUUAUUUCUGAGAACACCCCUGAGAAUACACUUUUGUGGCUGUAGCCUAGUUACAAGGCUGGGUCAGCAUUAAGUCAUUACUAGUGAAUCUGAUUUUUUCUUUCUCUGCUGAGAAGACAAACAGUAGUACUGGCCAGACGUUCUUUAACACCAUAAAUGUUUAUCACACACUUAACUACUAAUUCUAUAGUCGGUUGUUGACUCAUAAGCAACAUGAAUAAUCUCAAUACAGUAAACUGACAACAACUGGGCUCAUUUCAUUCAGUCAUCUUUCCUUAUUUUAAACCAAAAUGUCCACAAGGCAUAUUUUCCCCCAUAAGCCUAAAUCUGAAAAAUUAAAAUGGUAUAUCAUGUUCAGUGUUGUUCUUUAAAGAUCCCUAGAAUAAAAGGCUCGAGUUUGAGGAGCAGAUCCAAAUCUUCUUGGCAGCUU
ensembl:lncRNA